rnacentral:rRNA from 1 species
AUUGAACGCUGGCGGCAUGCCUUACACAUGCAAGUCGAACGGUAACGGGCCUUCGGGUGCCGACGAGUGGCGAACGGGUGAGUAAUACAUCGGAACGUGCCCGAUCGUGGGGGAUAACGAGGCGAAAGCUUUGCUAAUACCGCAUACGAUCUACGGAUGAAAGCAGGGGACCGCAAGGCCUUGCGCGGACGGAGCGGCCGAUGGCAGAUUAGGUAGGUGGUGGGAUAAAAGCUUACCAAGCCGACGAUCUGUAGCUGGUCUGAGAGGAUGAUCAGCCACACUGGGACUGAGACACGGCCCAGACUCCUGCGGGAGGCAGCAGUGGGGAAUUUUGGACAAUGGGCGCAAGCCUGAUCCAGCCAUGCCGCGUGCAGGAUGAAGGCCUUCGGGUUGUAAACUGCUUUUGUACGGAACGAAAAGCCUUCUUUUAAUACAGGAGGGUCAUGACGGUACCGUAAGAAUAAGCACCGGCUAACUACGUG